UACGUAGGGUGCAAGCGUUGUCCGGAAUUAUUGGGCGUAAAGAGCUCGUAGGCGGUCUGUCGCGUCUGCUGUGAAAACUCGGGGCUUAACCCCGGGCCUGCAGUGGGUACGGGCAGACUAGAGUGCGGUAGGGGAGACUGGAAUUCCUGGUGUAGCGGUGAAAUGCGCAGAUAUCGGGAGGAACACCGGUGGCGAAGGCGGUUCUCUGGGCCUGUUCUGACGCUGAGGAGCGAAAGCGUGGGGAGCAAACAGG
rnacentral:rRNA from 1 species